rnacentral:rRNA from 1 species
GUGAACGCUGGCGGUAGGCCUAACACAUGCAAGUCGAACGGCAGCACAGUAAGAGCUUGCUCUUACGGGUGGCGAGUGGCGGACGGGUGAGGAAUACAUCGGAAUCUACUUUUUCGUGGGGGAUAACGUAGGGAAACUUACGCUAAUACCGCAUACGACCUACGGGUGAAAGCAGGGGAUCUUCGGACCUUGCGCGAUUGAAUGAGCCGAUGUCGGAUUAGCUAGUUGGCGGGGUAAAGGCCCACCAAGGCGACGAUCCGUAGCUGGUCUGAGAGGAUGAUCAGCCACACUGGAACUGAGACACGGUCCAGACUCCUACGGGAGGCAGCAGUGGGGAAUAUUGGACAAUGGGCGCAAGCCUGAUCCAGCCAUACCGCGUGGGUGAAGAAGGCCUUCGGGUUGUAAAGCCCUUUUGUUGGGAAGGAAAAGCAGCAGGUUAAUACCCCGCUGUUCUGACGGUACCCAAAGAAUAAGCACCGGCUAACUUCGUG